GCUCGUAGUUGGAUUUGUGGUGUACUUCGGCGGCCCGUCACUAUGUGAUGGAGCUUGCUGAAGUCGCCAUCCUUGGGUGGAUCCUGUGUGGCAUUAAGUUGUCGUGCAGGGGAUGCCCAUCGUUUACUGUGAAAAAAUUAGAGUGUUCAAAGCAGGCUUAUGCCGUUGAAUAUAUUAGCAUGGAAUAAUAAGAUAGGACCUUGGUACUAUUUUGUUGGUUUGCGCACCAAGGUAAUGAUUAAUAGGGACAGUUGGGGGUAUUCGUAUUUCAUUGUCAGAGGUGAAAUUCUUGGAUUUUUGAAAGACGAACUACUGCGAAAGCAUUUAC
rnacentral:rRNA from 1 species